CUAACUACGUGCCAGCAGCCGCGGUAAUACGUAGGUGGCAAGCGUUAUCCGGAUUUAUUGGGCGUAAAGAGAGUGCAGGCGGUUUUCUAAGUCUGAUGUGAAAGCCUUCGGCUUAACCGGAGAAGUGCAUCGGAAACUGGAUAACUUGAGUGCAGAAGAGGGUAGUGGAACUCCAUGUGUAGCGGUGGAAUGCGUAGAUAUAUGGAAGAACACCAGUGGCGAAGGCGGCUACCUGGUCUGCAACUGACGCUGAGACUCGAAAGCAUGGGUAGCGAACAGGAUUAGAUACCCUGGUAGUCCAUGCCGUAAACGAUGAGUGCUAGGUGUUGGAGGGUUUCCGCCCUUCAGUGCCGGAGCUAACGCAUUAAGCACUCCGCCUGGGGAGUACGACCGCAAGGUUGAAACUCAAAGGAAUUGACGGGGGCCCGCACAAGCGGUGGAGCAUGUGGUUUAAUUCGAAGCUACGCGAAGAACCUUACCAGGUCUUGACAUCUUGCGCCAACCCUAGAGAUAGGGCGUUUCCUUCGGGAACGCAAUGACAGGUGGUGCAUGGUCGUCGUCAGCUCGUGUCGUGAGAUGUUGGGUUAAGUCCCGCAACGAGCGCAACCCUUGUUACUAGUUGCCAGCAUUAAGUUGGGCACUCUAGUGAGACUGCCGGUGACAAACCGGAGGAAGGUGGGGACGACGUCAGAUCAUCAUGCCCCUUAUGACCUGGGCUACACACGUGCUACAAUGGACGGUACAACGAGUCGCGAACUCGCGAGGGCAAGCAAAUCUCUUAAAACCGUUCUCAGUUCGGACUGCAGGCUGCAACUCGCCUGCACGAAGUCGGAAUCGCUAGUAAUCGCGGAUCAGCAUGCCGCGGUGAAUACGUUCCCGGGCCUUGUACACACCGCCCGUCACACCAUGAGAGUUUGUAACACCCAAAGUCGGUGGGGUAACCUUUUAGGA
rnacentral:rRNA from 2 species